rnacentral:rRNA from 1 species
UACGUAGGGGGCAAGCGUUGUCCGGAAUCAUUGGGCGUAAAGAGCGCGUAGGCGGCCCUGUAAGUCCGCUGUGAAAGUCAAGGGCUCAACCCUUGGAUGCCGGUGGAUACUGCAGGGCUAGAGUCCGGAAGAGGCGAGUGGAAUUCCUGGUGUAGCGGUGAAAUGCGCAGAUAUCAGGAGGAACACCGAUGGCGAAGGCAGCUCGCUGGGACGGUACGGACGCUGAGGCGCGAAAGCGUGGGGAGCAAACAGG